GACGAACGCUGGCGGCGUGCCUAAUACAUGCAAGUCGAACGAGAGCACCCGGUGCUUGCACUGGUCAAUCUAGUGGCGAACGGGUGAGUAACACGUGGGUAACCUGCCCAUCAGAGGGGGAUAACAUCCGGAAACGGAUGCUAAAACCGCAUAGGUCUUCGAACCGCAUGGUUUGAAGAGGAAAAGAGGCGCAAGCUUCUGCUGAUGGAUGGACCCGCGGUGCAUUAGCUAGUUGGUGAGGUAACGGCUCACCAAGGCCGUGAUGCAUAGCCGACCUGAGAGGGUGAUCGGACACAUUGGGACUGAGAAACGGCACAAACUCCUACGGGAGGCAGCAGUAGGGAAUCUUCCGAAAUGGACGAAAGUCGGACGGAGCAACGCCGCGUGAGUGAAGAAGGUGUUCGGAUCGUAAAACUCUGUUGUUAGAGAAGAACAAGUGCUAGAGUAACUGUUAGCGCCUUGACGGUAUCUAACCAGAAAGCCACGGCUAACUACGUG
rnacentral:rRNA from 1 species